GAUGAACGCUGGCGGCGUGCCUAAUACAUGCAAGUCGAGCGAACGGACGGGAAGCUUGCUUUUCUGAUGUUAGCGGCGGACGGGUGAGUAACAUGUGGAUAACCUCCCUAUAAGACUGGGGUAACUUCGGGAAACCGGAGCUAAUAUCGGAUAAUAUUUUGAACCACAUGGUUCAAAAGUGAAAGCCGGUCUUGCUGUCACUUAUAGAUGGAUCCGCGCUGCAUUAGCUAGUUGGUAGGGUAACGGCUUACCAAGGCAACGAUGCAUAGCCGAUCUGAGAGGGUGAUCAGCCACACUGGAACUGAGACACGGUCCAGACUCCUACGGGAGGCAGCAGUAGGGAAUCUUCGGCAAUGGGCGAAAGCCUGACGGAGCAACGCCGCGUGAGUGAUGAAGGCCUUCGGAUCGUAAAACACUGUUAUUAGGGAAGAACACAUGUGUAAGAAAAUGGGCAGAGCUUGACGGUACCGAAUGAGAAAGCCACGGCUAACUACGUG
rnacentral:rRNA from 1 species